GAUGAAGAACGCAGCGAAAUGCGAUAAGUAGUGUGAAUUGCAGAAUUCUGUGAAUCAUCGAAUCUUUGAACGCACAUUGCGCCCCUUGGUAUUCCAUGGGGCAUGCCUGUUCGAGCGUCAUUUGUACCUUCAAGCUUUGCUUGGUGUUGGGUGUUUGUCCUUUCUCUUGCAGAGGGACUCGCCUUAAAGUAAUUGGCAGCCAGUGUUUUGGUUUUGAAGCGCAGCACAAGUCGCGAUUCAAAGCUAUACGCCAGCUUCCACAAGCCUUUUUCACUUUUGACCUCGGAUCAGGUAGGGAUACCCGCUGAACUUAAGCAUAUCAAUAAGCGGAGGA
rnacentral:misc_RNA from 1 species